UAUAAUCAGGCUACUAAUUACAUGCAGGUGUGCAACAAACAGUGAAUGCCAGGAGAGCACACAGUGUUUUUUUUCUGCUCCGAUUUGUUUGAUUCUCAACAAUUACCAAAACAAUAUAGAAUGCUAUUUUUUGAAUAUCAGUCGAUCGAUGGAUAUUACCGUACCUUUGUUCAUUUAUACUUUUAGUUAAUUUGAUUUGUGCACGUCACAGCUCAGAGUCAACACACGCACAUGCUCACACAACCCACUCAUAACCAACCGGACGGACUACAAUCAACUUCAACAAACCAAUGCGUAAUGUUAUUAAGAAGUUUGCCAAGCGUGGAACUGUCAAGAACCUCCCUGGAUGUGGAGGGAAGAAAAAAAGCUGAUGAGAGAAGUCUUCGAAGGUUGGUGCGAAUGGUGGAAAAAACACCACGUCACACAUUCAGAGACCUGAAGUCCAACCUGGAACAGUCUGGGGUCAUGGUUUCAACAAGUACCAUAUGCCGAAUACGAAACCAAACAGGGCUUCAUGGGCGAAGGCCAAGGAAGACACCAUUGCUGAGGAAAAGACAUAUAAAGGAAUCUACAUAAUCUGUAUCCUAAAAUGGUAUACAUUAUGUAAUUAGACCCUUCACUCAUUCAUAGAUCAAUGCUUUACAAAGUGAUUGGUCAUUUGCAAUGCUAAUUUAAAUACAUUUAAUAUUUUGAUUGACCUUUUUUCAUGUUUCUGUGCCUGCUUGGGCCUUUUCACAGUGAAGCCAUAACGUCCCAGAUCCAAACAGUUAUUUUGAUUGGUUUGGUUUUAUAGUAAUUCCCCUUUAGUUAGCGCUACAUGCAGCACCAUAAAUGCAGCUUCAAGUAUUAAGUGCAAUUAGAAGACAUGGCAAUACUGGAAGUUCCUAAGAACCCAGCCUCAAGAGGCUACAAGGACUUUUCUUUUUUAUUUUUUUAAAUUCUGGCGACCCCUGUGGACACAAGAAAUAUGAUUAUUUUAAAUGCUACUUUUCUUUUUAAAAACACAGCACAUUAUGUAUCAGUAACUUUAAUAUUCAUUUCAUACACCAUUACAUUUGAUGCAAUCCUACAGCUAACAGAUUUGAUGGUUGAGCUAAAGAUAGUAAACAAUAGCAAAGCAAACCUAAAAUGUUAUGUCAUGAUGUACGUGAGGUGUUCUACUGCUGUUUGGAAAUAUAGAUGUAUCCACUGCCAUACCACCAGACUACAGGGCAGACUUCUUU